rnacentral:rRNA from 1 species
AUUGAACGCUGGCGGCAGGCCUAACACAUGCAAGUCGAGCGGAUGAAGGGAGCUUGCUCCUGGAUUCAGCGGCGGACGGGUGAGUAAUGCCUAGGAAUCUGCCUGGUAGUGGGGGAUAACGUCCGGAAACGGGCGCAAAUACCGCAUACGUCCUGAGGGAGAAAGUGGGGGAUCUUCGGACCUCACGCUAUCGGAUGAGCCUAGGUCGGAUUAGCUAGUUGGUGGGGUAAAGGCCUACCAAGGCGACGAUCCGUAACUGGUCUGAGAGGAUGAUCAGUCACACUGGAACUGAGACACGGUCCAGACUCCUACGGGAGGCAGCAGUGGGGAAUAUUGGACAAUGGGCGAAAGCCUGAUCCAGCCAUGCCGCGUGUGUGAAGAAGGUCUUCAGAUUGUAAAGCACUUUAAGUUGGGAGGAAGGGCAGUAAGUUAAUACCUUGCUGUUUUGACGUUACCAACAGAAUAAGCACCGGCUAACUUCGUG